ACGAGUAUGCUGAAAUUGGUAGCCAGGUCGUAUUUAGGAUACGAUGAUCUUCAGAUUUUAAGAGUUCAAGUCUCUUUACUCGUA
rnacentral:tRNA from 1 species